rnacentral:lncRNA from 8 species
GUUUUGAGGCUGUUUUGUUUCACAGUGUUGUUACCAGGAAACAUAUUUCAUACCUGACUUGUAGUGUACAUGUUCCAUAAUGUAUGGCUCUGUUUUUUUUUUUACAUAACGCAUUUCGCUUAACUCGUCUUACCACUAAAUCUUCACCAACGGCCUUCGCUUUGCCUAAUAAUCCUGCAGCCUGGAGUCAACAACGAUAAGAUGAGAUUCUUCCCAUAAAUACAACUCCCUGCUACUUUCAAAGACAAGAUGACAUGCCAAUUCUGAAGGGUUUAAAGUAAAGUAUGAAAUCAUAUUUUAGAAUUGCUAGAUAUUAUUAUGUAUAUUUAAUAAUAUUUAUUAAGGGCCAAAGGUUCAAGAAACUGCUGUUGCAAAGUUAGAUUCAUUGUCUGCAUGAGAUUUCUGCAAGAUUGAGUGAUGAAUGCAGGGAAUGAACCACAUUCUGUUCCUGGAGCAGCUUCUGAUAAACCUUUUGACAUUUUAAAAACAACUCCUGCUGAAGAAAACUCCUUGAAACCAUGACACUUCACCUUUCAUGACUUCUGCACACACUUUCAGACUUUCCCCAUUGGACUAAAACAAAUGAAAUCCACCUUCAUGACUAAUGUGAACUUUGGUCCAGUUCUCAGUCCACACAGCAUGCUCCUCAGCAAAGUUGCAUCUGGCUCGCCCCUGGACAUUUCGAUCUGCCUGAUUGAGUCCUAAUCGGAGCCUGUGAAACAUUUCAGACCUUUCACCCCUCGUUAUCAAGGAAAACAAAGAUUACCAAAUGUUCUUCUUUGACCAACACAUGGCUCGUACCGCAUGGGAAUGACAUUGAUAAGAAAUUAGGUGAACAAACAUUCAAAAAUAGCUGCCCUCAUCAAUGAAAGUGACGUCUUUGAGAUAAGAAUCGAAUACGAUGGAGGAUUUCUUCUGCAUGUAUUCUUCCACGUAGGUUCCACUCAGACGCGAGCGCUUCAUACCUGAGACAGCAAUCAGAUGAAGGGCAUACCUUCCUGGAUCUGAUUACAUUCCUAUCGGCUCAUUAUCAAGAACACUUGCAAACAAAAGGCCGGCAAAACACUACACAGGCAGCGGUUCACCCCACAGCAGCACUAAAACUACCUCAUAAAUCCAAAGCCGCAAACACUUUGCUAUAUAAUGAUCGUCAUUUUUUAUUUACGCUCUCUCCGCAGCUUAUGACGGUGGCGUUAAUCUGCUCUGGGAAAAGCUGAACCUCAGCACUGCCAAAAUGAGCUGUACGGGAUAUCAGGACUGUUCUCGCCACGCUCCGUGGCUCAUGGCUUCAACUCUGCGUGAUGCCAGCUCAAUUCCUAAUAGAAUUAGCUUGGAUUAAUUGGCUGUUUAUAUUCAAGAGUUCCAGUCUUGUUCCUUUCCCUGAUACGGAGAGCAUUGCUCCAUUUAUCCCAGUAAUGAAAGUGGAGAAUGCAGUGGCAGCGGUCAUUACCGCUCCCCGACCAGAACAAUGUGUUCUGACUCCAGCCUGUGAAAGACAUUAACUAGGCCGUCUGAGAACACUGAUGACUAAAUAUCUCAGUCUCUUUGCUCCGCAGCUGACUGCAGGGACUGCACUAGGGUCAAAAGCACUGCAACACUGCAAAAAACAACCCUUACCAGUUUCAAAAUAGCUCAAUGCCCUUGAGGGCGGAAGUGUGAUGGGAAUCUGAUGUGUUGAGGAGAUCUGCGGUGUCUGUGUUGAACAUAGACACGUACAUCACCUCCACACCUGUCUGGCUGGAGCCUGCCAGCCCAUACCUGAGAGGACAAACCCACAGAGGUAUACACCGCCACACAUCAGAUCUCAACGCUCCUCUCCGUCAUGUCCAUAUUUGCGCAACAGAAAGGUAGAUCACUUGCUGUACGUAUCAGCCAGAACAUCAAGUGUGAACUAUUUACAGUGCUAAGUGAAGUAUCUCCAAACAUCUACGGAGGCCCUCAGCAUUUCAUUGAAUUCAGUAUAUUAUGAAAACAGCUUCAGAAUUCAUGGAAAUGUGUUGAAAUUGUCGGUUACACUUUGUUCAGAUUUUUCCCUUUAAAUCGAUUAUAUAAAUACAGUACAUUUGUAGCUAUCACCUACUGGAUUAUUGAUAGAGUUUUGGUCAACUGAAUCAGAUCGGGUAAGCAAAAUGAGUUGAGGUACAGUACUUGGAAAGUUACUUUUUCCAUGCAGUUUAUUAUUACAUUAUUAAUACUGUAAUUGAUAAUUGUAUUGAGGAUGUAAUGUAUUAAAACCAAAUAGACCACUUUCAUGGUA